GUAACCACCCUCUUCCUCCUCCUCACGGAGCUCUUCUCCCUCCUUCCCUCCUCCUUUGCCUGCCCUUACUGCCCUAAACCAACUCCUCCUACCCCACCACACCACAGGCACCACCCCACGCUCCCCCCCAAGCACCCCCCUAAGGUGAAGCCCUUCCCCCACCCCAAACCCAAACCCAAACCAAAACCAAAACCCAAACCGCCGGUCGUCGGCCCACCCAAACCCCCUCCGGUAGUCCAGCCUCCACUGCCACCCAUCAUCCCACCCAAACCUUCACCCCAUGUCAAGCCUCCAAUGCCUCCAAAAGUGAAACCUCCGCCCUACGUUAAACCCCCAGUAGUCCGGCCUCCACUGCCGCCUGUGGUCAAGCCGCCGCCCGUCGUCAAGCCGCCGCCCGUCGUCAAGCCACCGAUCGUGAAGCCACCACCCGUCGUCAAGCCGCCGCCUGUCGUGAAGCCACCGCCGGUGGUCAAGCCGCCGCCUGUAAAGCCACCACCCGUGGUCAAGCCGCCGCCUGUCGUUAAGCCGCCGCCCGUGGUCUACCCGCCUCCCAUCAUCACGCCGCCGGCGCCGCCUGUCGUUAAGCCACCACCCGUGGUCUACCCGCCUCCCAUCGUCACGCCGCCGGCGCCGCCUGUCGUGAAGCCACCACCCGUGGUCUACCCACCGCCCGUCGUCCCGCCGCCGGCGCCGGCGCCGGCGCCGCCUGUCGUGAAGCCACCACCCGUGGC
rnacentral:lncRNA from 1 species